rnacentral:lncRNA from 1 species
GUCAACUAGUUACUUGGUUGUAUUUCAUUUAGUAAUUUAAUAUAUGAAAAAUCUGAAAAAUGACUAAGGAUUUUACCUUUUUAUCUUUAAGCAAUGUGUUCUCUUUUGUUUAUUUUUUUCCUUUUUAGAACUCUGCAGCCAUUCUUUGAAGGAUUAUUACCCCGAGAUAAUCCAAGAAACACUCGGUUUGCCAUCAACUUCUUUACUUCUAUAGGUCUUGGAGGUUUAACGUAAGGAUUAUUCUCAGAAUUUAUGUUCAGAUUAUAAAAUUAUCUCAUAAUUGUCUUUGAAAUAGAAUCUAACAGAUUCUAUUUUAAAUUAGGGAUGAACUGCGGGAGCAUCUCAAAAAUACACCAAAGGUCAUUGUGGCGCAGAAACCAGAUGUUGAGCAAAAUAAAUCCUCCCCAUCCUCUUCCUCUUCAGCGUCCUCCUCUUCAGAGUCUGACUCAUCCGACUCUGAUUCUGACAGCAGUGAUAGCAGUUCAGAGUCUUCCAGUGAAGAGAGCGACUCUUCAUCCAUCAGUAGUCAUAGCUCUGCCUCAGCUAAUGAUGUAAGAAAGAAGGGACAUGGGAAGACCAGAAGUAAAGAGGUAGAUAAAUUGAUCAGAAACCAGCAAACAAAUGAUAGGAAACAAAAAGAAAGAAGACAAGAACACGGGCACCAGGAAACAAGGACUGAGAGAGAAAGAAGGUCAGAAAAACACAGAGAUCAAAAUUCAAGAGAUUCAAAUUGGAGAGAUCCUAUAACAAAGUACACAUCAGACAAAGAUGUUCCUUCUGAACGAAAUAACUACAGUAGAGUUGCAAAUGACAGAGACCAAGAAAUGCAUAUAGAUUUGGAAAAUAAGCAUGGUGAUCCCAAAAAGAAGAGAGGAGAGAGAAGAAAUUCUUUUUCUGAAAAUGAGAGGCAUACACACCGAAAUAAAGACAGUGAAAAUUUCAGAAGAAAAGAUAGAUCAAAGUCAAGGGAAAUGAAUAGAAAGCACUCAGGCUCAAGAAGUGAUGAAGAUAGAUAUCAAAAUGGUGCCGAGAGACGAUGGGAAAAAUCUAGCAGAUACUCUGAACAAUCCAGAGAAUCAAAGAAAAAUCAGGACCGGCGGAGAGAAAAGUCUCCAGCAAAACAAAAAUAAUUCUACAAAAUGACAUAAACUGGACAUGCCUUAUAUUCAGUUGAAACAAAUUAUUUUUUACUUUGACGAACUUUAUAGAGAAUUCUUGUAUAACGUAUUGGUUUGUAUUUGUAAAUUUAAAAAAUGUUUUCAUUUUAACAUGUUUUAUAAUUGAUACAUCUCAAGGCCCUACCCAUAAAAUUAUUUGAAAACUUUCACCAGAAAGGGAUGUAAGUCUCGCUUAUAUUUUGUGAAUAAAAUGAUCAAAAGCUCAUUGAUUCAGUGAUGUUUUUUCAAUUGACAAAAUAUUUUUUUAAUUGUUUAAGAAGCUGUUAUAGUGAAUUAUCAGUGCUUUUUUGUUUGUAACUGAAGACCAAAACAGGUGAACCUUUUCAGUUUAACAGUUUUGCUUUGUUAAUGAGAUGUUAUGAAUCUUUUUCAGGUAGUCACUUUUUUUUUUUUUAAGUAGAGGAUUUGUUACAAUUUUCAUAUUAGGCUUUGAACAAAGUAUGUAAUGUGUAAUUUUUUUCACAAGUGUUGGUAAAGCUAGGUGUAUGUUAGUCUUUAAAUCAAUACACAGUUAUUUAUAAUUAGAACUUCUCCCACAGGAAAUAUUUCUUCUCUCUGGACUCCUUGAUAUCAUUUAAUUGAAAUUCUUUGUGAUUAGUGCAUUUUUCUCAGCCUUGAAGUUAUAUCACUGUUGAUGAAUUAAUGUGUAUUUAAUUUUUAGUUUAGGUUAAUAGAUCAUUGGAAAACAUAUAGUUGUGAAAUAUGCAAG